CCUACGGGUGGCUGCAGUGAGGAAUAUUGGUCAAUGGGCGAGAGCCUGAACCAGCCAAGUCGCGUGAAGGAUGAAGGCCCUAAGGGUUGUAAACUUCUUUUGUCAGGGCGCAAUUGGGUCCACGCGUGGGCUUAGCGAGAGUACCUGAAGAAAAAGCAUCGGCUAACUCCGUGCAAGCAGCCGCGGUAAUACGGAGGAUGCGUGCGUUAUCCGGAUUUAGUGGGUUUAAAGGGUGCGUAUGCGGAAUAUCAAGUCAGCGGUAAAAAUUCGGGGCUCAACCCCGUCGUGCCGUUGAAACUGAUGUUCUGGAGUGGGCGAGAAGUAUGCGGAAUGCGUGGUGUAGCGGUGAAAUGCAUAGAUAUCGCGCAGAACUCCGAUUGCGAAGGCAGCAUACCGGCGCCCAACUGACGCUGAAGCACGAAAGCGUGGGUAUCGAACAGGAUUAGAUACCCUUGUAGUC
rnacentral:rRNA from 1 species